UACGUAGGGGGCAAGCGUUGUCCGGAAUCAUUGGGCGUAAAGAGCGUGUAGGCGGUUCGGUAAGUCGGCUGUGAAAGCCUGGGGCUCAACCCCAGAGGGUCGGCCGAUACUGGCAAGCUAGAGUACGGAAGAGGUAGCUGGAAUUCCCGGUGUAGCGGUGAAAUGCGUAGAUAUCAGGAGGAAUACCGAUGGCGAAGGCAGGUCUCUGGGCUGACACUGACGCUCAUGCACGAAAGCGUGGGGAGCAAACAGG
rnacentral:rRNA from 1 species